UCUCCGUUGGCGAACCAGCGGAGGGAUCAUUACAGAGUUGCAAAACUCCCAAACCAUUGUGAACGUUACCUAUCCCGUUGCUUCGGCGGGCGGCCCGGGCCCCGCGCCCGGCGCCCCCCGGCCCCCCGUGGGCGCCCGCCGGAGGUAAACCAAACCCUUGAAUUGCAUGGCCUCUCUGAGUCUUCUGUACUGAAUAAGUCAAAACUUUCAACAACGGAUCUCUUGGUUCUG
rnacentral:misc_RNA from 1 species